GGGCGCACACGCGCUUACAUGAAAAGGGUUAAGAGUGUGAUUGGUUAGCCACUGCCACAGCUGCGCCAUGAGCAGCCGUGAGGCGUCGAGGGCCGCGGCAGAGCCGGCACCCACGCCGUCCUCGGAGCCGCCGCGGCAACGACCGGCCGAUGCGGUCGCUGUGCCCGCAUCAGUGCAGCGCUUCUAUACCCACUUUAUGACACUUCUCACCCAACAGGGCCGCUGUGGCCCAGCAACGAUAGCAGCGGCAGUAUCGGCCCCUUCGGCCCCACUGCAGCACCGCAGCACCUCCACUACCGACGGUCAAGACGGCACCGAGGACAACGCACUGCGCCGUCUCACUUGUGCCCAGGAAGACGCGCUCGGUCCGCUGCUCUGGCAGUGGUUGGUCCUUUUCUCUCUAGCUGUGCAGCAGGCGGGAGAAGCACCGCAGGAGCGCGGUCCUGCUCCGUCCGCGAUGGCGGUUGCGUCCGCCAUGUGCUCGGCGACGCCAUCACACGCGCUCGGGCCACACGAUGUGGAGCGACUCUUUCGCUCUGGGUUCUCCUCUCUUCUGCCGGUGGCUGGUAGUGGCGGUGGUGCCGGUGGUGCCGGUGGUUUGCGCGGCAGCCGGCUGCCCCCCGCGGAUCCGCCCGCGCCCUGGCACAGCGUGCCGCUUGCAAAACAAAGUGGUCCCGAGAGGGCUCUCGUGGCUGCGCUCAGCGCCAUCAGCUGCAAUGGUCCGCUCUUCAGUGCGUGGUGUGCGCUGUGCUACACGUGUGUGGGCGCCUCGCUGCUGGUGAGCACAUCUCAGCGCCGUCAUGAAGGGGGAGAUGCGGCCGCGGGCCUCUCCACGAGCGGCUUCUCCGCAUCAGAGGAGGCCAUCCGCAGCGCUCUGCGGCGCCUUCGCCACGCCUGGAACUCAGCCGUGGAACUCGCGGACGCGCCACGAAGAAGCGUCGACGCGUGUGCCACGCUGCGGUUAUGGGCGACGGUUUACACAACGUGCACGGCGCUUGGCUCGGCCGCCGAGGCAGCGCCGAUCACGCAUGAGAAGGCCGGUGAAAGCCGUGCGCUACAAGCCCCACCGCUCUCCCUAUCUCUCUGGGCGGUGCAGUGGUACCGCGAGUGCACUCGCGUCGCCGCGCACGGCGCAGAUGAAGGCUUUCACUCGGAAGAGGCAGGAGUGCCCGUGGAACUUGUGACUCGCGUGAUGCGCUACAUGUGCCACCGCCUCGAAGCUGAGGUAGUGAGGCGUGCCCGGCGGCAUGAACGCACGGGGUCUGCAGCGUCUCUGACGGCUACGGCUGAGCUUGAGGAGGCGCGUGCGAAGACGACGGCGCCUGUGCUCACUGCGCCUCCCUCUGAGGCCAGCGCCCCUGCUCCCAUCGUGCCGACGCUCCGUGUUGGGGCCUUGACUGCUCUCGCCCUGCAGUCGGUCAUGCACCUCGUCGGCGACGAUGCGGAUCGCCGCGGCGGGGCGGCAAAGCGCUCUGGCGGCCGCAAAGGCGGGGCGCCGCUGAGGCGCCGACGCCGUGCAUGGCAGAUGAGCUCCGACGACGACGACGACGGCAGCGAUGUCGACAGCAGUGUGGAAGACCCGGACUAUGGCGGUGGGACGGAGGGAAGCUGGAGCGGGCGCACCGACGCGCAGAGCGGCGCUUCGCGCUUCAUCUUCAGUCAGCAGGAGCGGUAUGAAGUGGCCAUCGCCUCUGGGGUGCUUACCACCUACUCCGUGUGCCCUGCCGACGACGAUGUGGCGCAGCCCGCUGACCGCCAUUACAUGCACCGGCUAACCGGCGAGCAGUAUCUCCGCAACGGCACGGUGCACUGGUGGACGCUGAGGGAUUCGCAGCGGCACCGGCAGCUGAUGGCAGAAGCCCGGAACACGUCAUAGGGAUUCGCUGCUCAGUGAUGCCGCGGCUUUCGGAAGAAGAGGUGCGGGGUGUCUUGCAAACUCACGUACGUAGCCGCAGGCGUGUAUAGGCGAUGGUGCACGUCAUGUUAAACGGUCGUCGCAGCGAAGGGAGGGGGUGAAAGGGGGACGGCCGGCACGCCGCCAAUCCGUGGCGCUCCUUCUGUGUGCUUCAGGAUCUCCUCGGGAUAGUGCCGCGAGAGGCCAGAGGUCGCUUGCACGCUGCUGGGAUUUGCGCAGACUGGCUAGUGGCCGCCGUCGAGAAAAGGCGACAUUGCCGUCUCCUGAGGGCCCAGGGGCAGAGCCGCGAUGUGUGCGGCCUCGUGAUCCAACGACCCACCCCCUCCUUGCCUGCAUGGCGUCUGGUGUCUAUCCUGUCCUCUGCUUGCACAGCAUGGCAGCUGCAACGCACACGCACGCCCCUCUCGCUCCCUGCACUCUCUCCUCCCCUCUCUUUCUGAGGACGACACGCCGGCUCAACAG
rnacentral:misc_RNA from 1 species